AAGAAGGAGGAAACAUGCACUCUUUUCAGCUGCCAGGCAGCACUUUGCUUUGGGGAAAAACAAACAAAGGGUGCCGUGGCUGAAAGCCUAGAGGAGCUGGAGCUCAAAUGCUGUGUAGUGCUGCUGCUGGGACCCUGUGGCCCUGGAACGGAAAGCUGUGUGAAUCCCAGUGCCAGGCUCUGAGAGGCUCUCUUGCUCAACCAAAAGCAGGGAGAGUUCUCCAUAGCCAAGGGCCUGCAGCAAUUAUUUGAUUAACUUCACCAAGUUUCUGCUCUGUUUUCUGUGUUGGCUAUGGUGACAUGGACUUUCAUUGUUAUUAUUAUUAGUCUUCUUAAUACUGGAGAGAAGAGCCCGUAUCUUAACAUCUUCAAUAGAUAAAGAAAAGGCUAUUAAAGGCAAAUACCAUGAACAGAGGAUAUUCUGUGUCUACACGAACAGUGAUUCUUCAAUGGUGGUCUGAAGACCGUGAGUGUUCCUUGAGGAGUCAGUAAGUCAAGCAUCUGCAACUCCCCUGUGCACAGGGCAGGGCAGGGGGAAUGAAUGAGGCUAUAGCCGGGUGUGGACUAUGGCAUACUAGGAGGGCUGCACCUACUCGGCCUGAAGGGGGAGCACGUGCUUUGCCUGAAGGGGCAGCCCCUCGCGCACCAGGGGACUGUGGGGAGAUGAGGGAACUGAAAUCUGUGAGCUUUAAACCACUUGCUUGAAGACAUGGCUGACAUUUGUGGCUGAAUCCUAAUGUAGUUAAUUUUCCUUUCAGCGGGUCAACUUGCAACUGAGUUGCCACCAGUGUACCGAAAUGAUAGACUAGAAAACGAUGACUUCAGCAGGGGAUCAGAGCUUUAGAGCUUCAUCAUUCACAUGAGCCAAGUGCGAGAUUUCAGCCCGUCUCUCCUCUAAAUGCAGUUAGGAGUCUUCGAAACCUUUUGUGUGAAUCCAGGAGGGAAAAUUGUCUGGCAAAGUCUGAUAAGCAUCGUGUCAAGAGCACAUUUGUACUCUGAUGGAGUCUCUCUCUGUUGUCCAGGCUGGAGUGCAGUGUCGUGAUCUUGG